GACGUAGGGCGCGAGCGUUGUCCGGAUUUAUUGGGCGUAAAGAGCUCGUAGGCGGCUUGUCGCGUCGAAUGUGAAAACUCGGGGCUCAACUCCGAGCUUGCAUUCGAUACGGGCAGGCUAGAGUUCGGUAGGGGAGACUGGAAUUCCUGGUGUAGCGGUGAAAUGCGCAGAUAUCAGGAGGAACACCGGUGGCGAAGGCGGGUCUCUGGGCCGAUACUGACGCUGAGAAGCGAAAGCGUGGGGAGCGAACAGG
rnacentral:rRNA from 1 species